AAUCGCAAUGUGUUCCAGAAACUACUUGCCCAAGGGAUUUCAAGCUGUUACCAAACCAAAAAAGAAGUGAUAAUUGUUAUUCAUAUGAAGGAGACGGUAAAACGUGGCUGGAAGCUCAGUCGAUUUGUGCCAGAACGCCAGGUGCCUACCUGUGGAGACCGAACACGGAAGAAGAAGCCAACGCUGCUUACCUAGAAUAUUUGCAACAAGCACCUUAUGUAUGGACCGGUGCAAAUGAUAUAGACAAGGAUGGGAUUUUUACAUUUAUCACAGAAAAUGGUACUUUGAAUUCUGUCCCAUUUGGACAAGG